rnacentral:tRNA from 1 species
GUAGACAUAAUUUAACCAAAAAUGUUGGAUUGUGAUUCCAAAAACAGAGGUUCAACCCCUCUUGUCCACC